UACAGAGGUCUCAACCGUUGUUCGGAUUCAUUGGGCGUAAAGGGUGCGUAGGCGGUCGGGUAAGUCGGAUGUGAAAUCCCAGGGCUCAACCCUGGAACUGCAUUCGAUACUGCCUGGCUAGGGUACUGGAGAGGAGACUGGAAUUUACGGUGUAGCAGUGAAAUGCGUAGAUAUCGUAAGGAAGACCAGUGGCGAAGGCGAGUCUCUGGACAGUUCCUGACGCUGAGGCGCGAAGGCCAGGGGAGCAAACGGG
rnacentral:rRNA from 1 species